CCUACGGGGGGCUGCAGUGAGGAAUCUUGCACAAUGGGCGAAAGCCUGAUGCAGCGACGCCGCGUGCGGGAAGAAGGCCUUCGGGUUGUAAACCGCUUUUCUGGGGGACGAGCAAGGACGGUACCUCAGGAAUAAGUCCCGGCUAACUACGUGCCAGCAGCCGCGGUAAUACGUAGGGGGCAAGCGUUAUCCGGAAUCACUGGGCGUAAAGGGCGUCUAGGCGGCAAGGCAAGUCUCGCGUAAAAGCUCCCGGCUCAACUGGGAGAGCGCGCGGGAAACUGCCUGGCUAGAGACUCGGAGAGGGGUGUGGAAUUCCCGGUGGAGUGGUGAAAUGCGUUGAGAUCGGGAGGAACACCAGUAGCGAAGGCGGCACCCUGGCCGAGUUCUGACGCUGAAGCGCGACAGCGUGGGGAGCAAACGGGAUUAGAUACCCCUGUAGUC
rnacentral:rRNA from 1 species